rnacentral:rRNA from 1 species
UACAGAGGUCCCAAGCGUUGUUCGGAUUACUGGGCGUAAAGGGUGCGUAGGUGGUUGGGUAAGUCUGAUGUGAAAUCUCCGAGCUUAACUCGGAAAUGGCAUUGGAUACUAUUCGGCUAGAGGGUUUGAGGGGGGACUGGAAUACUUGGUGUAGCAGUGAAAUGCGUAGAUAUCAAGUGGAACACCAGUGGCGAAGGCGACUUCCUGGCCUGUUCUUGACGCUGAGGCGCGAAAGCGUGGGGAGCAAACAGG